ACAUUUCUUGCAAGGCAGGUCUACUGGUGACAAUUUUCCUCAGUUUUGAUUUGUCUGAGAAAGUAUUUCUUCUUUUUUGAAGGAUAAUUUUACUCGGUAAAUAAUUCUAGGUUGGAAGUUUUUUCCUCCUUUAAUACUAAAUGUUUUACUCCAUUCAAUUGCAUGGUUUGUGAAGAGAAGACCAAUGACAGUCUUUUUCUUCUUCCUCUACAGGUAAGUGUUUUGUAACCAGAAUAGAGGAGGUCUCAUGGAAAUUUGAAUGGAGAAAAAUGGAGAGAGAACUCAAUCACAUGGAGUGCAGUAGGAGCCAUGUACCAAACUGAAAAGGCUGUAGUCACAUCAGACAAUAGCUGAAGAAUGUGAGAAAGAAAAAUCAAAAGCACACAAAUGAGACUGUGCAGUGAAGAGGCCACAGAGACAACCAUACUGUCUUUUUGUAUCACAAUAAGCAAAAAACAGCGUCUCAGUAUGUUGCUCAGGCUGUUCUUGAACUCCUGGGCUCAAAUCAUCUCCCACCUCAGCCUCCCAAACUGCUGGGUUUACAGGCAUGACCAACUGCACCCAGGCUAUUAAGACCUUCAUGAGAGAAAUGUCCUCGCUAUUCCUGGAGGAAAGGAACAAGAAUGUUCAUAUCCCUGAAGACACAGAAACAUAAAGAAAAAUCUGAACAAACAGGCCUUGCUAAAUUCCCCCCAGUUUAUUGCCAUGAGAUUGUACACUUGUGUUUUCCAAUCAUAUUUCUCCAUGACUGUUCACUCUUCAUCAAACUAAGUAUAAAAAUAUACAUUUACCUGUUUCUUUGGGUCUUUAUUUCUUUAUUAAGGCUCCUAUAUCACAUAAAAUUUACAUUUAAUAAAUUUGUAUGUCUUCAAGUCUGGGCACAGUGGCUGAUACCUGCAAUCCCAGCACCUUGGGAGGCCAAGGCAAGUGGAUUACUUGAGCUCAGGAGUUCAAGCUACCAGGCAGGCCAAGAUGAGAGGAUGGCUUGAGCCCAGGGAGGCAGAUGUUGCAGUGAGCCAAGAUGACACCAUUGCACUCCAUCCUGGGUGACAGAGCCAGAUCCUA
rnacentral:lncRNA from 10 species